CACAAGCGGUGGAGUAUGUGGUUUAAUUCGAUGCAACGCGAAGAACCUUACCUGGUCUUGACAUCCCGGAGACCCUUAGGAAACUAGGGGUGCUUCCAUCUGGAAGAAUCUGGAGACAGGUGCUGCAUGGCUGUCGUCAGCUCGUGUCGUGAGAUGUUGGGUUAAGUCCCGCAACGAGUGCAACCCUUGCCUUUAGUUGCCAGCAGUUCGGCUGGGCACUCUAAAGGGACUGCCGGUGUUAAACCGGAGGAAGGUGGGGAUGACGUCAAGUCCUCAUGGCCUUUAUGACCAGGGCUACACACGUACUACAAUGGCCGAUACAAAGGGCAGCGACACUGCGAGGUGAAGCCAAUCCCGUAAAAUCGGUCUCAGUCCGGAUUGGAGUCUGCAACUCGACUCCAUGAAGUUGGAAUCGCUAGUAAUCGUGGAUCAGCAUGCCACGGUGAAUACGUUCCCGGGCCUU
rnacentral:rRNA from 1 species